GUAUACACCAAUAGCCGUCGGAUCAGAUUGCCACGAUUUUGGCAGGAGGCCUUUGAGGCUGCUUAUGAGGAGUUGACUAGCGAUGUCCCUGGGAUUAGAGNNNNNNNNNNAUUGCCAAGAUGUCUGUCCGCUCCGUUGUUCUUGAUCCGCCUCCUUUUCAAUCAACGAGUGCACAAGAAUUAAGUAAGAGUCUGAAGUUAGGAGGGAAAGGUGGGGCUACUGCAAUUUCAAAGAGGAGUGAUAGAUGAUGUGAAGAGAAUCAA
rnacentral:misc_RNA from 1 species